AGAGUCUUUAAAAUUAAAAAAUUUGGCGGUAUUUUAGUCUUUUCAGAGGAACCUGUUCUGUAAUUGAUAAUCCACGAUUAGAAUUACUUAUAUUCAAAAUUUGUAUAUCGUUGUAGUUGAAUAUUUUUUAAGAAUUUAAAUAUUCAUUAUAUUAAAUAAAAUAAAAAAUCAAAUCAAGGUGCAGUUUAUAUAUAAGAAGAGAUGGGUUACAGUAUUCCUAUGUGUGAAUUUUUAAUUUAAAAUUAAAAUGAAAAUGGAUUUGAAAGUAAUUUUAAAAUUU
rnacentral:rRNA from 1 species